AACCAACCAGAUUUCCUUGUUCGAGUGCCUAGAUGGUGCUGAUGAGCACUGGGAGCUGUGGGUACAAAGCUGCAGACCUCACAGUUUCAGCUCCCAUUCAGGGGUGAUAGGUAAGAGGAGUGCUCACAGCAAGUUCUCAUCAGGCAGGACAGGACUAAAUCAUUAUGACUACACUGAGCCCUGAUUUUUGGAAAAGACACAAUCUCAGCAGCCGGUCAUAUUGAGACAUCUUGAGUAUUUGCUUCAUCCUGGUCAGGGAUAUCCUGCAACACUGGAUGUGAGGAAGUACUACACUUUGGAUGGGACCCCAGGUUGGAGAAAACUGGAUUACCCACACAGACACAGGGAGAACACUUGAAACUCGGCACAGAUGACACCUGAAGGUCAGGAUCGAACUGGGAACCCUGGAGCUGUGAGGAGGCUGCGUCACUAUGCUGCAUUGCACGUAUAUGUGUAUUUAAUAUUCCUUUUAUACAUCUAUUCCACUAUACUUCCUCAUUAGCAUAUAUGUUUUUCCUAUUUAUUGUAGGUCACUUUACAUCUUUAUCUAUUUCCUGUACUUGCAAUUAAAGCAAUUUAGAUUUUAAAUCGUGUACCUGUGUUGAAAUCAGUAGUUAGGCCCAAAUGGCUCAGACUGGAUUCUUUGGAGGCUGUAGCAGAAUGGAGGACACUCAGUAAACUGCCUGCCAUUAUGGUCAACAACCUCCAUCCCAUCCAUAACACUUAAACAGAGAAGCACCUUUAGCAAAAGACUGUGCUAAGGAGCACACCAUUACAUCUUUCCUCUGGAUGGCAAUCAGGCUCUGUGAUGAUCACUCUCCCUGGCUUUUAAUGUUGUUAUUCUGAACACCAGUAGAACCAUGUGACCGGUGCUAUGUUAACUCUUAUCACCUGUUCCAUGCUAAUACACGUCCAUGCAUAUUUGUAUAUAUUUUAAUACCUUGUAAAUCUGAUCCCUUUUUAUUUUUAUGCUACUGUAACACUACAGUUUCCCUCCAUAUCAAAAAGCAUCCAUCCAUCUAUCCAUUCAUCCAUCCAGUAACAAUGUCUAUUUUUAGACCCCUUAGGUCAUUACCAUUUAAACACAAAAAGAAA